ACGAUUUCCUGCAAAUUCCAAAGUCGGAACAUUUCAGUCGGCUUGCCACGUCACAUUGCCUCUCUCCUCUCGUCCCAUGCAUCUCGGUCUCCCUAUUCUUCGGGAACUAUUAACGAAGGAACGGCUUUCGUAAAACAACGAUAAAGUUCGACAACUUCAGCGUGUGGUUCAGAUUAUAAGAAAAGUGCUGUGAUGGUUCGGUCGAAGAAACUACGGAGGCCUGGAAUAUGUAUUAUCAGCACGCAUCGUGUGCGUUCUUCAGGGCAGUGACCCGCCGUCCCGCCAGCUCCUUUCCUCCCCCUCGCCUGCCCAGUGUUCAGACUACCUGUUCAUCACGCUGCAGCUGAACAGUAGUCCGCACAUUGGUUAGGCUGGGCAGGGACACACACACCCACGCUUGGACCCGACUUUGGAACGAGGACUGCGCGUAUAAACAACCUCUCCGAGAAAGAAGACAUUUAUACGACUGGAAUCUGGCAUUGCAUUUAAUCUACAUUCAUAAAGUUGACUUGAGUGGCGCUUGCUUUGAGACGAAACCAGGGAGGGGGUGGGGGAUGAAAACCGAAAUGAAGAACAGAUGCAUCUCACCUCUUCGUCCUUGUACCAGGAAAGGGAUUCGGCCGAAAGAACGAACCAGUAGUCCUUGGAGCCUCCCUUCAUGAUGCUGAUGUUAAGGGUUAGCCAACCUUUACGGAUCACCUGUUGGAGAGAUGAUGUGGGGGGUGGGAGUGGGGCAUGUCACAGGGGCGGGGAAACAAUUAUGAGAGUCACAUUCAAUGUAUCAUUCAAAAAGCAACUUACCUGCUGGUGAAAUAUAUGUGUCAGUAUUUCUAAGCUAAAGGCCUGCAUGCUAUGAGCGAGUUAAACAUAAGGGAACGAUUAAAGUAUACAGUCCCGCUUCACUACUAACACAGCGAAUACUAAAAAAGCCACGGGGGAGUGUCUUGAAAUAGAGCGACAAUAAAACAACCAUAAGGAACAA